rnacentral:tRNA from 1 species
UGUAGGGAGGACGAAUGGUAAGUCACCGGGCUCAUGCCCCGAAGAAGUGGGUUCGAUUCCCGCCUCUACAG